rnacentral:rRNA from 1 species
GGUGAGUCGGGUCCUAAGGCGAGGCCGACAGGCGUAGUCGAAUGGAUGAACGGGUGGAUAUUCCCGUACCGGCGGCGUACCGUAAGAGCCGAACGGAUGAGUACUAACCUCCGGUCGCGUGGCGUCGUUCCCUUCGGGGUUCGGGGUCCGCGGUCGUUGGGAGCGUAGUCCUGGUAGGCUAGCGCACAGGGGUGACACGGAAUGGGAGCCGGCCGCGGAGGUGGUUUUCCGUGGUCAAGCACGCAGCCCGUCCCAUAGGCAAAUCCGUGGGACGCAUAGGGUGAGGUGUGAUGAUGGGCGUCUUUUAUGGCGCGAUAUCCGGUGGUCCAGGCCGUCGAGAAAAGCCUCGGCGCGAGGGGCGUCGCCGCCCGUACCCCAAACCGACACUGGUGGUCAGGUAGAGAAUACCAAGGCGAUCGAGCGAAUCCUGGUCAAGGAACUCGGCAAAUCACUCCCGUGCCUUCGGUAUAAGGGAGACCCCCGGGCGUGAAGAGGCUUGCCCUCGGAGCGUUGGGGGGUGGCACAGACCAGGGGGUAGCGACUGUUUACCAAAAACACAGGUGCAUGCGAAGGCGCAAGCCGCUGUAUAUGCACUGACGCCUGCCCGGUGCCGGAAGGUUAAGAGGAUCCGUCAGCCCCUUUUGGGGUGAAGCGGUGAAUUCAAGCCCCGGUAAACGGCGGUGGUAACUAUAACCAUCCUAAGGUAGCGAAAUUCCUUGUCGGGUAAGUUCCGACCUGCACGAAUGGCGUAACGACUUCCCCACUGUCUCGACCAGGAGCUCGGCGAAAUUGCAGUACGAGUAAAGAUGCUCGUUAAGCGCAGAAGGACGAAAAGACCCCGGGACCUUUACUAUACCUUGGUAUUGGCGUUAGGCGCGGAUUGUGUAGCAUAGGCGGGAGGCUUCGAAGCAUGGGCGCCAGCCCGUGUGGAGCCGCAAGGUGAAAUACCGCUCUGUUCUCGUUUGACGUCUCACCUCGAACAGUCAUCCUGUUCAGGGACAGUGCCUGGCGGGUAGUUUAACUGGGGCGGUUGCCUCCCAAAGAGUAACGGAGGCGCUCAAAGGUCCGCUCAGCCCGGUUGGCAAUCGGGUUUCGAGUGUAAUCGCACAAGCGGGCUUGACUGCGAGAACGACGGUUCGGGCAGGGACGAAAGUCGGAGAUAGUGAUCCGGUGCCGGCGCACGGGCGCGGCAUCGCUCAACGGAUAAAAGGUACCCCGGGGAUAACAGGCUGAUCAUUCCCAAGAGUCCAUAUCGACGGGAUGGUUUGGCACCUCGAUGUCGGCUCGUCGCAUCCUGGGGCUGGAGCAGGUCCCAAGGGUUCGGCUGUUCGCCGAUUAAAGCGGCACGCGAGCUGGGUUCAGAACGUCGUGAGACAGUUUGGUCUCUAUCCUCUGCGCUCGUUGGAAUCCUGAGGAGGCCUGCCCAUAGUACGAGAGGACCUGGGUGGACGGACCUCUGGUAUGCCGGUUGUCGCGCCAGCGGCAUGGCCGGUUGGCUACGUUCGGGAGGGAUAACCGCUGAAAGCAUCUAAGCGGGAAGCCUGCUCCAAGAUUAGGAUUCCUUGACGCUCC